rnacentral:rRNA from 1 species
GAUGAACGCUGGCGGCGUGCCUAAUACAUGCAAGUCGAGCGAACAGACGAGGAGCUUGCUCCUCUGACGUUAGCGGCGGACGGGUGAGUAACACGUGGAUAACCUACCUAUAAGACUGGGAUAACUUCGGGAAACCGGAGCUAAUACCGGAUAAUAUAUUGAACCGCAUGGUUCAAUAGUGAAAGACGGUUUUGCUGUCACUUAUAGAUGGAUCCGCGCCGCAUUAGCUAGUUGGUAAGGUAACGGCUUACCAAGGCAACGUUGCGUAGCCGACCUGAAAGCGAGGCUGCGAAGCUGGAAUGAGAGGAUGGUCCGGCACACUGGGGGGGAGAAGCGGAGCGAACUCUUACGGAAGGUACGAGAGCUGAAUGGUGCAACAUGGGCGAAAGAAUGAAGGUGUUAGGAUGCUAGAACUAUGUAGUUAGUAAAAAAAAAAUAUGUUAUUAACAGGGCCGGUCAUGACGGUACCUAGAGAAAAAGCCACGGCUAACUUCGUG